CAGUCAGGACGGAGCAAGAAGCAACGGGGUAUUCUAGGCUCUGCACAUCCCGCUCCGAUGCCCCCUCCAGUUUGCAACUUUCUGGUGCAGAG